GAUGAACGCUGGCGGCGUGCUUAACACAUGCAAGUCGAACGGGAAUUAUUUUAUUGAAACUUCGGUCGAUUUAAUUUAAUUCUAGUGGCGGACGGGUGAGUAACGCGUGGGUAACCUGCCUUAUACAGGGGGAUAACAGUCAGAAAUGGCUGCUAAUACCGCAUAAGCGCACAGAGCUGCAUGGCUCAGUGUGAAAAACUCCGGUGGUAUAAGAUGGACCCGCGUUGGAUUAGCUGGUUGGUGGGGUAACGGCCCACCAAGGCGACGAUCCAUAGCCGGCCUGGGAGGGUGAACGGCCACAUUGGGACUGAGACACGGCCCAGACUCCUACGGGAAGCAGCAGUGGGGAAUAUUGCACAAUGGGGGAAACCCUGAUGCAGCGACGCCGCGUGAAGGAAGAAGUAUCUCGGUAUGUAAACUUCUAUCAGCAGGGAAGAUAGUGACGGUACCUGACUAAGAAGCCCCGGCUAACUACGUG
rnacentral:rRNA from 1 species